rnacentral:lncRNA from 1 species
UGUCACCCAGGCUUGAGUACAGUAGUGCUAUCACAGCUCACUGCAGCCUUGAACUCCUGGGCUAAGGAUCCUCCUACCUGAGCCUCCUGAGUAGCUGGGACUGUAGGGUCUCCCUCUGUUGUCCAAGGCUGGAGUGUAGUAGUGCUAUCACAGCUGACUGCAGCCUCAACCUUCCAGGCUGAAGCGAUCCUCCCAUCUCAACCUCCCACGUGGCUGAGACUACAGGUGCUUGCCACUAUGCCCAACUAAUAUUUGGAAUUUUC